rnacentral:rRNA from 1 species
UACGUAGGUGGCAAGCGUUGUCCGGAUUUACUGGGCGUAAAGAGCGCGCAGGCGGUCGUUCAAGUCGCGUGUGAAAGCCCCCGGCUCAACUGGGGAGGGUCACGCGAUACUGAUCGACUCGAAGGCAGGAGAGGGUAGUGGAAUUCCCGGUGUAGUGGUGAAAUGCGUAGAUAUUCGGAAGAACACCAGUGGCGAAGGCGGCUCACUGGUCCGGUACUGACGCUGAGGUGCGAAAGCGUGGGGAGCAAACAGG